CCUUACUCCAUCUUGUUUCCGCUAAAAUCGCGUCAAAGUCGUAGAUUCAUGGCGUCGAUGUGUGGCUACGAAUUCACAAGAUCUAUCGCUCGGUACGUCAUUGAGGCUAGAGAAAGCGAUUUCCUGCACUCGUACUGUUUCGUCGAAAACGAAGUUUCAUGACUGUUUCAUAUUGAAAAUGUUUUGAAUAAGAAAUAGCUAUUGCGUAUUCUAUAUCGCUGAUUUAUAGUCACGUGAUAAUUUAUAUUCUAUGUACAGUGUCCAUGUACAAAAAUCCUAGAUUGUAAUUACUGUUAAAUAAAUAUACAAUUAAUUAAAAGCGUAAAA